rnacentral:rRNA from 1 species
GACGAACGCUGGCGGCGUGCCUAAUACAUGCAAGUUGAGCGCUGAAGGUUGGUACUUGUACCAACUGGAUGAGCAGCGAACGGGUGAGUAACGCGUGGGGAAUCUGCCUUUGAGCGGGGGACAACAUUUGGAAACGAAUGCUAAUACCGCAUAAAAACUUUAAACACAAGUUUCAAGUUUGAAAGAUGCAAUUGCAUCACUCAAAGAUGAUCCCGCGUUGUAUUAGCUAGUUGGUGAGGUAAAGGCUCACCAAGGCGAUGAUACAUAGCCGACCUGAGAGGGUGAUCGGCCAAAUUGGGACGGGGACACGGCCCAAAACCCUACGGGAGGCAGCAGUAGGGAAACUUCGGCAAUGGACGAAAGUCUGACCGGGCCACACCGCGUGAGUGAAGAAGGUUUUCGGGUCGUAAAACUCUGUUGGUAGAGAAGAACGUUGGGGAGAGUGGAAAGCUCAUCAAGUGACGGUAACUACCCAGAAAGCGACGGCUAACUACGUG